GGGUCUUUAGCUCAGCAGUAGAGCGGCAGACUUCGGUAGAAAUUCUGAAGAAAAUCGUCACGAUUUGCAUUCUGCAGGUCGCGGGUUCAAUCCCCGUAGGACUCU
rnacentral:tRNA from 1 species